CAAAAUUCUAAUCUUUUAAUUUUCUGUUUCGUUUCAGAUCUGAUUGUUUAGGGAUUUCGUAGGAGUUUCUCGUGACUUGGCAACUUGAUCUUGGUCCGCGCGCAACCCCGUAUCAGAUUGUUUCAUCAAUGCUCAAACUAUAAUCUAAUGAAAGAACUUACUCCUAACUUAAUAGAAGUACAAGGUUUAUGCAGUCAUCUUCAUCUUGGCACCUUUUUCCCACAGAAUAAAUAGCGUAGAUGCUAUAAGGUCUCACAUAUCACAACUAAUUCCAUUGCUACAUUAAGAUAUUAAUCAAAGUUUCAGUAGCACGAAAUUUUCAUUUCUUUUUGGACAGACAGAUGAAUUGGUUCACGAGGGGGGCAGGAGCAGAAUGCAAAGCAGAAAUGUAGGCAAGGAUUGAAAUCAUGGGAAUCAAACAACACAACUAAGGUUUUAUUUAUUUAUUUUAAACAAAAGAAAUUGAAACCAUUAGCUCCAUUUACACAACCUUUGUCUUGCUUAAUGGCGUAUCAUAUCCUUCCCAGUCCCUACACAAGCUUUAGUUUGUUAGUUUUAUCUUAGAACUUCCAUGUAUUGUCGCCAAUGCUGUUGGCUCCAGAUCAAAGAUGACAAAAAAUUAUCAUUAGCAGAUCAACAUCAUGAAAGCAAAGUGAAAAAAGUGGGGCCACCGAGAUGAAUGAUUUUGAAACUGACCGUGUAAUAAAUAUGCGCCACGAGAUACAGAGAAAAUCACAAUUGCAAACCGGGGGCAGGGGGGUUAUUUUGCUGAUGAACAGGCACAAUGAAGAGAGACAAAAUACUCAGAAGAAGUGCUUGUUCUUGGUGUGCCAGAAUAGACGCUGAGUUGGUGAAUCCCUUCUGAAUGGAUAAGAAUUUCCACAGGAAAUCAUCAAUUAGCUUCUGGUGGUAAUCAAAUCGAACUAUAGAAAUUAAAAUAUCAUGGUUGCAACCUAAUCCGUAAGAGCUUGUAGUGUUGAGCAAUUUAUUUUCUAACCUUCAGCUCGUAGUCUUUUUUAAGUUUUAACAAUGAAUAGCUUAAAUUUGAAACUAAGAUGUAUUAAAUUCAUUGAAUACAUGAUAUUGGCAACAUUAUGUUAAGCUCAGUCAAAACAGGCAGCUCUAUUCUCAUUAAAAAUAAAAAAGGUAAAAAGAGAGAGAGAAAAAUAUAGGAAUAGGUCCCAUCAAAGGAAACUAGAAACCUGAGUUAUUAAGAACGUAUCAAAUCUUAAUUUUUCUUCUUGUACUAUAACAAAGUUUGAUCACACAAGCUCAAAGACAUAUAUCAAUGUUGGGUUCCUUCUAAAUUUUUAAA